rnacentral:sRNA from 1 species
AAUCAUUCCAUCUAUUGAAAUGAUUCACUGCUUUUUUAAGUUUAUUUGGCAUACUUUAGCUGAAAGUCACCUAUCUUUAUAUAAAGAAAUAUUAUUAUUAACAUGCUAGUUAUAGUUGUGAAGUAAAAGGCUACCAACGGCUGAGAAAUGAUACCAAUUAAUAAUGCACCGACAGUCAUUCCAAUAUAUCUCACAAAAUUAAAUACACCUAGCACUUUUCCUUUUAUAUGUUCAAACCUUUUAGAAAUUAUAGUAGACAGCAAAGCUGGCACAAUACCAACACAAGUACCUAAUAUAAAUAUAAUUACUGAUAAUAUAAUUACAUUUGAUUCGUUUAACCAACCAAACAAUAACGUAAAUAUAGCAAAUCCAGUUAUAGUAACACGAAGUAUCAUUAUUUCAUUAUAUUUUUUUGACAAUCGUUUAUAAAAUAAACUUCCUAAUAUAACACUAACAGUAAUAGGUAAAAACAAAACUCCUGAUAUUCCAACGCCUAUAUCAUAGGUAUUAUUUAAUAAUGUCGGUAAAUAAACUAAUAUUGAAAAGUACGUCAAAAAUAUUAAAAAUCCCAAUGUCACUAAAGUAAUAAACACUUUAUCGAUCAAAUAUUUUUCUUCAAUUUUUUCAGUUAAUUUCACAAUCCCUUUUUCAACAUUUGGAAUAUCAAUAAAAAAGAUAAUCAGAAAUAAUACGAUAGAUAUAACAAGCAAAAAACUAAAAAUACCAAUAUAAUCCCAUCUUGCACCUAAAGUACUCCCUAAGAUUGGUGCCAAAGCUGGCGCACAUGAUAAAAAUAUUUGAUAGUUCGCCAUAGCUUGAGCUCUACCAUUAUCUGUACUUAGUUUGGCUAAUAAAGUUAAAGUCACGAGAGGAAUAAUUCCGCAACCAAUUGCUUGAAAUAACCUUGAUAUAGCAAAUAAUAUAAAGUUAUGUGUCACUGCACAAAUAAAGCUAGAUAUGAUUACUAUUCCCAAUCCCGUUAAAAGUACUUUUUUCGAAUCACGAGAAUCUAUACUUCUACCAAGUACAAUUUGCAUAACUGCAACGAUAAAUAUAAAACCGCCAACUGUCGCAUUUAUCCAAAAUAGUGGUACUUGAAAAUCGUCAUAUAGUCUCGG